rnacentral:tRNA from 1 species
GCGCUUGUAGCUCAGCUGGAUAGAGCGUUGGACUCCGACUCCAAAGGCCCCCGGUUCGAAUCCGGGCAGGCGCA